CCUACGGGAGGCUGCAGUGGGGAAUAUUGGACAAUGGGCGAAAGCCUGAUCCAGCCAUGCCGCGUGUGUGAAGAAGGCCUUCGGGUUGUAAAGCACUUUCAGUGGGGAAGAAAGCCUUGGGGCUAAUACCCUCGAGGAAGGACAUCACCCACAGAAGAAGCACCGGCUAACUCCGUGCCAGCAGCCGCGGUAAUACGGAGGGUGCGAGCGUUAAUCGGAAUUACUGGGCGUAAAGCGCGCGUAGGCGGUCUGAUAAGCCGGUUGUGAAAGCCCCGGGCUCAACCUGGGAACGGCAUCCGGAACUGUCAGGCUAGAGUGUAGGAGAGGAAGGUAGAAUUCCCGGUGUAGCGGUGAAAUGCGUAGAGAUCGGGAGGAAUACCAGUGGCGAAGGCGGCCUUCUGGACUGACACUGACGCUGAGGUGCGAAAGCGUGGGUAGCAAACAGGAUUAGAUACCCGGGUAGUC
rnacentral:rRNA from 1 species